GCUGAGAUGGCCGAGUGGUUAAGGCGUGCGACUUAAGAUCCCAUAUCGUAAGAUGCGUGGGUUCGAGCCCCACUCUCAGCA
rfam:Rozella allomycis CSF55 unplaced genomic scaffold scaffold_3172, whole genome shotgun sequence.